rnacentral:rRNA from 1 species
GUCCUUUGAUGGCCUGACAGCGUACCUCUUGCAUAAUGGGUCUGUGACUUAAUGUAUCAAGCAAGCUUAAGCCGAUAGGUGUAGGCGCAGCGAAAGCGAGUCUGAAUAGGGCGACAGAGUUUGAUGUAUUAGACCCGAAACCCGGCGAUCUAGGCAUGACCAGGAUGAAGGUGCAGUAACAUGCACUGGAGGUCCGAACCGAUUAACGUUGAAAAGUUACCGGAUGAGUUGUGUUUAGGGGUGAAAGGCCAAUCAAGCCGGGAAAUAGCUGGUUCUCCGCGAAAACUAUUGAGGUAGUGCCUCGAGCGAAUACCUCUAGGGGGUAGAGCACUGGAUGGGCGGGGGUCGCGAGAUCUACCAACACUAACCAAACUCCGAAUACCUAGGAGUACUACUCGGGAGACAGACGGCGGGUGCUAAGGUCCGUCGUCAAAAGGGAAACAGCCCUGACCUACAGCUAAGGUCCCCAAGUCGUGUCUAAGUGGGAAAGCAUGUGGGAAUUCCAAAACAACCAGGAGGUUGGCUUAGAAGCAGCCAUCCUUUAAAGAAAGCGUAACAGCUCACUGGUCUAAUCAAGAGUUCCUGCGGCGAAGAUGUAACGGGGCUCAAGACACUGCACCGAAGCUUAGGGUGUGAUCAUAUGUCACGCGGUAGCGGAGCGUUCCGUAAGCCUGUGAAGCGAUCUGGUAAUGGGUCGUGGAGGUAUCGGAAGUGCGAAUGCAGACAUGAGUAGCGAUAAAGAGGGUGAGAUGCCCUCUCGCCGAAAGACCAAGGGUUCCUGCGCAAGGCUAAUCCGCGCAGGGUGAGCCGGCCCCUAAGACGAGCCCGAAGGGGGUAGUCGAUGGGAACCACGUUAAUAUUCCGCAGCCUGGUGGUGUGUGACGGAUGGUGUGUGUUGUUCGGCCUUAUCGGAUUGGCCGGGCUUCGAAACUGUCCCAGGAAACAGCCCCACCGUAUAGACCGUACCCGAAACCGACACAGGUGGUCAGGUAGAGUAUACCAAGGCGCUUGAGAGAAGUGUCCUGAAGGAACUCGGCAAAUUGCCUCCGUACCUUCGGAAGAAGGAGGCCCUCACAGCGGGCAACCGUUAUGAGGGGGCACAGGCCAGGGGGUAGCGACUGUUUAGCAAAAACACAGGGCUCUGCUAAGUCGGCUUCAAGACGACGUAUAGGGUCUGACGCCUGCCCGGUGCCUGAAGGUUAAGUGGAGGGGUGCAAGCUCUGAAAUGAAGCCCAGGUAAACGGCGGCCGUAACUAUAACGGUCCUAAGGUAGCGAAAUUCCUUGUCGAAAUUCCUUGUCGGGUAAGUUCCGACCUGCACGAAUGGCGUAACGACUUCCCCACUGUCUCCAGGACAUGCUCAGCGAAAUUGAAUUCUCCGUGAAGAUGCGGAGUACCCGCGGUUAGACGGAAAGACCCCGUGCACCUUUACUGCAGCUUCAGAGUGGCAUUAGGAAGGAACUGUGUAGCAUAGGUGGGAGGCUUUGAAGCGAGGCGCCAGCUGUGUGGAGCCAUAGGUGAAAUACCACCCUGUUGUUUUCUGAUGUCUAACCUCGUUCCCUGAAGCCGGACAGGGACCCUCUGUGGCGGGUAGUUUGACUGGGGCGGUCGCCUCCUAAAGAGUAACGGAGGCGCGCGAUGGUUGGCUCAGGCCGGUUGGAAACCGGCUGUUCAGAGUGCAAUGGCAUAAGCCAGCCUGACUGCGAGACUGACAAGUCGAGCAGAGACGAAGUCGGUCAUAGUGAUCCGGUGGUCCCUCGUGGAAGGGCCAUCGCUCAACGGAUAAAAGGUACGCCGGGGAUAACAGGCUGAUAACCCCCAAGAGCUCAUAUCGACGGGGUUGUUUGGCACCUCGAUGUCGGCUCAUCACAUCCUGGGGCUGGAGCAGGUC